UAGUAAUAGAACAACUUUAUAUAAUACCUACUUCAUAAUAUUGCUGUUUCGUAUUAUAACUACUCUCCCUAUAUAUAUAGCUUUUAUAUAGUGCAACAACUAUACAGUGUAGCUACUUUAUAAUAUUGCUACUGUACCAUAUAACUACCUUAUAACACAGCUUCUCUGUAGAGCUUUUUCAUAAUAUAACUUUAUCAUAUAACUGGAUUAUUGUAGAACUUUGUAGUACAGCUUCUUUAUAAAUACUUACUUUUUAAUAUAGCUACUGUGUUGUCUAAACUACUUUAUAGUACAGUUUUUCUAUAGAAUUUCUUUAUAAAAAAAGGUUGGUUUCUAACAUAGCUGCUUUAUAAUUGAUUACAAGAAAUGAAUGAAAUAUUACACAAAAAUAUGCCGGAAAAAUUGUCCCAUUUUCACUCAGCCCUUUUGUGAGACAUUGGUAGCUAUUUGUAAAGACAUUCCUGUUUGAAAAAUCUGUGAAACAAAAACAAAACUGCAUUGCAUCAUGGGAAAUAACAAGCCUUUAUUGGAUAUAUCUGUGGCAAAUUGUUUUUUAUGCUGUGGAGCGAGGAGUGGCAAUUUAUCUCCCCAUAAGCAUAAAUUAAAUACUUUACCAUUUGGAAUUAAGAAACUUAUAAAAAGUAGACAACCAGAUUCUUCUAAUGAGAAAUUUUCCAAUGACAGGCGUGGUAGCAUGCCACUGGUUCCUUCUGUUGAUGGUGGCAAUAUGGAAAUGGGAACUACUUCCAAGCUAGCACAUUUUUUCACAAAGAAAGGAUUACGCACCAAUCUGAAAAGAACGAAAAGUGUUACCAAAUUAGACAGGAAACGGUCAGCUUCCAAUGUCUGUGAAAGGGAAACAUCAAUCAUUAGCUCAAGAAUACGGACGUCUCGUUCCCAUGAGUCCCUGCUGACGAAUCAGUCGAACAUGCACAACAUCGAGCUAAACAACACAGGAAGAUUGGACAUAAGGCCUGUUCACAACAGCCUUCUGGGACAGAAUGAAUGCUUCAGCAUCCCAACCCAGACUGGCAACAUGUAUUACUCUUGUAAGAACAAAGAAGAACAAAGAUCCUGGGUCGAUAGCUUACGAAAAGGAAUUCAGCCUAACAUCAACAAAGAACGUCGUGUAGACAAUUCCUUAAAGCUAUGGAUCUGGGAGGCCAAGAAUAUACCACCAAAAAAAAGAUAUUUUUGUGAAAUCUUUCUGGACUCCUCAAUGCAUGCCAAGACUUCGUGUAAAGCACAGUCGGAAAUGCUGUUUUGGGGAGAGUUCUUUGAAUUCAGUAACUUGCUCAACAUAAAACAGAUUAUUUUGUAUCUCUAUCGAGAAGCAGACAAGAAGAAGAAAAAAGAUAAAAACACUAAAAUAGGAGUUGUAACUAUUCCAGUCUGUGAACUUGGUAACAAACAGUUAGUUGAGAAAUGGUUCACUGUGAAUAGUGUUACUGUUGGCAAACAGUUGAAAGAAAACCGAGCAGAAUUACCCAUGAUUCGGGUACGGAUCAAAUACCAAUCUGUACAGAUUCUACCUCAAGAACUUUACAAAGACUUUACAGAGUAUUUAACCAGUAAUUAUGUGAGCCUGUGUGAACAUCUGGAACCGUUGGUGAGUGUGCGGGACAAGGAAGACAUUGCUACAUGUUUAGUACAUGCCAUGCAGCACUUGAAUAAAGCAAAGAACUUCCUCUGUGAUGUGGUCAUGGCAGAAAUAUCUAGAUUAGACAAUGAACAUCUGACAUUUCGAGGCAACAGUAUUGCAACAAAAGCAAUGGAAGCCUACAUGAAAUUGGUUGGUGAAAAUUAUUUACAAGUGACAUUGAGAGAAUUUGUUAUGGAAAUCAUUGAGCUGUCGGAAGACUAUGAGGUCGACCCAACCAAGCUUUCCAAUAAUGCAGCUCUCCAACGAAACCAAGCCAACCUAAAGAAACUCUGCGAACAAGCUUGGAAUAAAAUUUCAAAUUCUAGGCGUUAUUUUCCUGGUGAACUUCGAGAAGUGUUUGCAGGUUUCCGAGAAAACUGCCGUGUAAACGAGAAGGAAGACCUUAGUGAUAACUUAAUCAGUGCAUCAAUAUUUUUGAGAUUCUUGUGUCCAGCAAUUCUUUCUCCUAGUCUUUUCAAACUGAUUCAAGAAUACCCGUCAGACAAAGCUGUCAGGACAUUAACUUUAAUAGCGAAAGCCAUUCAAAAGCUGGCGAAUUUCACACAAUUUGGUGGUAAAGAAGAAUUCAUGAUCUUUAUGAAUGAUUUUGUAGAAGAAGAAUUUGAAAAUAUGAAACAGUUUCUAAAAGAUAUUUCUAGUGAAGAUGUUGGUAAUGAAUUCCUAAAGAACCAGCAUGCUGUUAUAGAUUUUGGCAAAGAACUCUCUGUUCUACAUUCUCUUCUUGUAGAAACAUUAGGAAAAGCUAAUGAGGCUACAAUAACAAAACUGCAUCCAUUGCCUGAUAUUCUCAAUGGACUCACCCAGGCCUUAAACGAUCCCAAGAUUGGGAAAAAACAACCCAACCGGAAGAGCCAGAUUUACGACAAUUUGGCCACGACACCAAACAGCAACCCUUCGGUGAGCUCGUUAGUUCAGCUGUCUAAGUCAACUUUACACAUGGACAACAAUCACACAAUAAACAUGGAUGACAGUAUGAAUUCAGACAACGGUGGAAUCACUCAACAGACAUCAGGCACAUGGAAACGUACUAACGAAGCAAAUAUGUGCAGUGCAUUUAACGAUAUUUCUGUGACGCGAGAUAUUUCCGAUGUAUCAGUCAGCAAACACACUAACAAUAAUAAAGACUCCUUAAAACAAUGGUGGAACGAUAUUCUAACGACAGCAGAAGCUGUUAAUGGUUAUGAUAACAGAAUUAGUUUCAUAGAUGACCCGAGCGAUGCGCCAUACGAGACGGCGCUUGCAGACAAAACCAACUCAGAUCUUCAACAUCGCAGCCAUACCAGUAAUUCUCUUGCAGCUUCUUCCCAACGAUCUACUAGUCAAAAUUCUUUCAUGUCCUCUUCAGGUUAUCAACCAACGGUGUACAGCCCCUCAACCUUGUCCAUGGAACUACCACUGGCAUCUCAAGAACAAUUCAGCGGCUCAACGUUACCUGCUCAGUUUUCUAGUUUGGGUUCCACGUCAUUCGCUGCUCAACAUUCCUCCAUCCAGCAACCACUUUCCUUUUCUAAUCCCUUGUAUAAACACCAACGGAACUCUCAGUCCGUAAUGCCAUCUUCUUCAAUAUCCGUUUCAGGAAAUGCUUUAUCCACAAUGGAAGGCGCUGGUGCUGUAAGUGGUACUUCAUCUCCAAUGGUACACAGUAGCUUGAAGAUUCCUCAGACCUCAAGUUCAAGUUCUUUAAGCAGUACGGAUGACUCAGGCACAUUACCAUUUGUCAGUGUAAACACACAAGUGCACCAGACUCGCAGCCCAAUGCGGAAUCUACCAAUUACGGCAAUAACGACUUUAGAUUCCGCUCGCAAAAUAACGGAUCCCAUUCAAAAAUUCUCUCAGCUUUCCAGUUCUAGCUCAAGUAGUGAGUCACUUUGUGAUCGACGCAGCUUAGUACACUCCACCCCCAUGCAAACGGACAUUGAUAAUUUACAGCAUGGCCCCGCCUUGCAGCGGAUUAACCCUUUAUAUGGACACUGCAGCCCAAAACCGAGCCUAAAGUCAGUGACUUUACGCUCACACAACCAACCAGGAAACAGCCCAUUGAACACUUCAUGUGAAUUGCCUCAAGGUAUUGAGAUGAAGUUUUCUGGGGCUCGAUACGAAGACCCGUCAAGGUCUUUAAACGAUAGAGACACUAGUGUUAUUCAGUGUAACACUUUGCCAAAACGAGCCGAGAAGGAUCGUCACCUGGCAACGUCAUCUGUUUCAGAUGAAUUCUCUGUUUAUAAACCUGGCGCUCGGCUCUCACUGGCUCAGCAGCACUCUCUCCACAGUGGCACCCAAACGGUACAACAUAGGAAGUCUGAGCCAGUGAAAACCAGGGAAGAGCUCCGACACUUGUGAGACACUUGUGAGUAAUGUCGCUGUUGUAUCUGAGUGGAAGACAAAAUGAAGACAACCUCUGCCUGCUUGAUAGGCUUUGAGGAUGAACUUCGCAGAGAACACAGGGAAAUUGAACGUCUUGCUUGUGAGAAACAAAUGGUAAUUGAGGCCCAAGAGCGGCAGAUCCAGACACUGGAUACGACCAAUAAUAAACUGAUGUGUGCU
rnacentral:misc_RNA from 1 species